UGACCCAGUGAUGAUAGAAUGGAGCGCACAGAGGGGGGAACAGGUGUUGAGAGCCUGGCUUUCUUUUUCUCCUCUACUCUUUCAUCCUCAUCUGUUCUUUCUUUUUCUCUCCUUUGUCACUCUCACUCCUGCCCCGAUGAGCGGUAAGAUUAUGAGAUCUGAGGGUCA